rnacentral:rRNA from 1 species
UACGUAGGGUGCAAGCGUUGUCCGGAAUUAUUGGGCGUAAAGAGCUCGUAGGCGGUCUGUCGCGUCGGCUGUGAAAACCCGGGGCUCAACCCCGGGCCUGCAGUCGAUACGGGCAGACUAGAGUGCGGUAGGGGAGACUGGAAUUCCUGGUGUAGCGGUGAAAUGCGCAGAUAUCAGGAGGAACACCGGUGGCGAAGGCGGCUCACUGGCUCGUAACUGACGCUCAUGCACGACAGCGUGGGGAUCAAACAGG